GACGAACGCUGGCGGCGUGCCUAAUACAUGCAAGUCGAGCGAAGUUUUUCUGGUGCUUGCACCGGAAAAACUUAGCGGCGAACGGGUGAGUAACACGUAAAGAACCUGCCUCAUAGACUGGGACAACUAUUGGAAACGAUAGCUAAUACCGGAUAAUAGCAUUAACUGCAUGGUUGAUGUUUAAAAGUUGGUUUUGCUAACACUAUGAGAUGGCUUUGCGGUGCAUUAGCUAGUUGGUGGGGUAAAGGCCUACCAAGGCGACGAUGCAUAGCCGACCUGAGAGGGUGAUCGGCCACACUGGGACUGAGACACGGCCCAGACUCCUACGGGAGGCAGCAGUAGGGAAUCUUCCGCAAAGGGCGAAAGCCUGACGGAGCAACGCCGCGUGAGUGAAGAAGGAUUUCGGUUCGUAAAGCUCUGUUGUUAGGGAAGAAUGAUUGUGUAGUAACUAUACACAGUAGUGACGGUACCUAACCAGAAAGCCACGGCUAACUACGUG
rnacentral:rRNA from 1 species